GUGUCAGCCGCCGCGGUAAUACGAAGGUCCCGAGCGUUGUUCGGAAUCACUGGGCGUAAAGGGAGCGUAGGCGGUGCGGUAAGUCAGAUGUGAAAUCCCGGGGCUCAACCCCGGAACUGCAUCCGAUACUGCCGUGCUAGAGUGAUGGAGAGGUAGCUGGAAUUCACGGUGUAGCAGUGAAAUGCGUGGAUAUCGUGAGGAACACUCGUGGCGAAAGCGAGCUACUGGACAUUUACUGACGCUGAGGCUCGAAGGCCAGGGUAGCGAAAGGGAUUAGAUACCCCCGUAGUCC
rnacentral:rRNA from 1 species